UGUGUGGCUCUGGACAGUCUGGUCCUGGGUUUUAGUGGAGCUCGGUCCCAUUGGUCCAGCUGCAGCUGGUGGUGCUGGCAGCUGUCGGUCACUCACCUGCUGCCUGUCAGCUGCAUGAAACUCAGACUCAGGCAGGCUUCACAUGGACUGAUUCUGGAUUGAUUCUGGAUUUUAUGGAUUUUAUGGAUAAAUGAAGAGACAUUUUAUGGAUUAUUAUAAAUUUUUCAUCUUUCCGGGAUGACAGGAAGUGUUGGAGCUCCAGACUUCUGCAGACUACAGGAAGYGCGUGAACAGCUCCUUUGUUGUGUUCGCUGCAGAGGAAGAGAUCUUUCCCAGGAGGUCAGACAGCAGAGGAUCAUACAGACAACAAGCAGGAGCAAGAAGACCUGAACAUGUGAACCAGAUCCACAGAUGCUGGUCUCUGCAGGACUCUGAGUCCUGUCAGGUGAAGAGGAGCUGCUGCCUCAGUGAAGCACGGAGGUGGAGUCAUGAUGCUGUGGGGUUUGGACUGAACUGAAGCUCAGAUAUUAACUCUACAGAACACCUGAGAUGCUUUUACACAUUUCAUUUCAGGUGAUUUUCUGAUGAACAUGAUGAACCCUGAAAAUAACAACCAGCUGUUUUAUUUCAACAUUAUUUAUUUAUUUAUUUAUUUUAUUUAUCAAUUGUACAAAAAUACAA